ACAUUUUGUAACUGUUAGUCAAUAUGGCAACAUGUAAAAAAUGUAAGAAAAUUAAAGCUUAUAAAAGAAGACUAAAAUAUUACUCGAGUAAUACGCAAAAAGCUCUCGGUUUGGCCAAUAAUGGAUUUUGGAACUUCUUGCGGGAGUUCAGAAGGAAGCAUUACAGGCUGCCGCCAAAAUCUGUGAUCCCACAUGGGGCCAGGGCUUGGUGUAAGCUCACAAGCAAACAGAAGGAGAAGUAUACCAACAUGAAACGGGCCUCAUGGGAACAAGAUCUUUCUUUACUGUGCUUUUUGGCAGAUUUUUGAAACCAAUCCUACCCGUCGCCUCACUUGAUCCAAAUCAAAGCAGCAAAAUAAUCAAAAAAAAACACUUCUUUUAUAUUUUGUGUAUGCCAAAUUUCAAUGUCUGUCACAAUAUUCAAAUUUCCCCAUCCGAUUAUGAGCUGCCAGUGUAUCUAAUGCAACGAUAGGCGAAAAUAAAUUUCCUUUCUUA